CUGACUAAAAUACAAUGACCAAGACCAAAUUAGUGGUGUGAAGUCUAAACUUCCUUUUUUUUCACCAUUCUGUUUAGCUGUACUUCCCCUUUUUUUGUAGAUGUUUGCCUUUGAUCCACAACAACAUCUAUGAACCCAGCUCAACUAUAAGGUGAGAUGCUUCAAAGUGCGUUAGAACUAUAGGUACAAACCUUAAUGUACUGUCUACAUGAGUGUUAUAUGUUAUUUUUUGGUAUAUGUUAUUUUUGUUACCUGUUGUAUGCCGUCUACUGCGUAGAUGUUGGCUGCCAAGUCGUAAGAAUUUUGCUGCGCUGAAGCAAUUUGGUGUAUGCGAUAAUAAACACUUUGACUUGACUUGACUAAUGCACUGAAAGAUUAUUCAGUCGAUACCUUUUGUUCACAGACAUCUGUAGGGAGGACAUGGACAAUUAUUUCAUUCAUGCAGGAAGAUUCAAAAUUACAAGAGCCCCACCACUGCCAUCUCAACUAUAAGGUGAGAUGCUUCAAAGUGAGAAGUAAAAGUACAAACCUUAAUGUACUGUCUAGUGCACUGAAAGAUUAUUCAGUCGAUACCUUUUGUUCACAGACAUCUGUAGGGAGGACAUGGACAAUGAUUUCAUUUCUGCAGGUAUGUACGGUUGCCUAGUCAGGAAUGAGUUCACUUAUGAAGUAGUCAAAGAAUCAAAAGCAUAUUUGUCAGGCAUUAAACAUUUACUUGACUAAACAUAAUCCUGCCUUGAUAUCAUAUUGAAUUCAUAUAAAUAUAUAUAUAUGUUUUUUCUGAUAUCAUAUUUCUUAUCAACCUAUGUGAUUUUUUAUUCUUCUCUCCAUAUUAUUUGUCAGGGGUUUUUGGUCCAAGUUAUCGAUACUUCUUGUUCGUCAUUUGGAUGUCCUAUAUUGUGGUCAUAUUUACUCUAACAUAUCUGAAAAUGAGAAUAGAAGAAACCAUGGAUAGAGUCAAUACACUGAUGCAAGGAAAUGUGACUUCAGCAGAGGAAGAUGCAGAGGGGAAUGAUGACUACUGUGAAGUUGAAGAAAUACCUGAAUAAUUGCAUUUUUUUGAUAAUCACUAUCUGAGGGCCAAACUGAUGUUGUGAAAGAAUGUGAAUAUAUGUUUAAAACAUUUUAAAAAAUGUCUGAGACAACUAGCGACCAACAACAGCAUCUGUCUGACUCAACAACGUUGUAAUGCUGGCCUCACCUAAUAAAUACAGCGUGUUGGAUACA
rnacentral:lncRNA from 1 species